CCCUUAGAUGUCCGGGGCCGCACGCGCGCUACACUGAAGGAAUCAGCGUGGCUUUCUCCCUGACCCGAAAGGGUUGGGAAACCCGUUGAAUCUCCUUCGUGAUAGGGAUUGGGGCUUGAAAUUGUUCCCCAUGAACGAGGAAUUCCCAGUAAGCGCGAGUCAUAAGCUCGCGUUGAUUACGUCCCUGCCCUUUGUACACACCGCCCGUCGCUCCUACCGAUUGGAUGAUCCGGUGAGCUAUUCGGACUUUCGCAUUGUCGAUUUUCGGCUUUACGAGGGAAAGUCUCGCGAACCUUAUCAUCUAGAGGAAGGAGAAGUCGUAACA
rnacentral:rRNA from 1 species